CUUGAGAGUGCAGCUCUGUGUGGGUGGUAAACUCCAUCUAAGGCUAAAUACGACCACAAGACCGAUAGCGAACAAAUACCGUAAGGAAAAGUUAAAAAGAACUGUGAAAAGAGAGUGGUUUCACUUCGGUGGGCGAUGCUCCGCGGACGUCUUUCGCCGGAUUGUAUCUCGCGGACACGCUACCGCGCGGCGAUGUUCGGUGCUCGUUGUCGUGCAUUUCUCCUCUAGUAGGACGUCACGAUCCGUCGGUCUACGGCCCGGGUGCGGUGACCGUCGCGUCUUUGGUAAAACGGCACGCGGCAAAUCUCUGGUCGCUUUCCCGACGGUAUCAGGCCGCAAACGGAGAGACGAGGGUGUACCACACUUUCCGCCUCCUCACACGCGUCGUGUGCGUCGGGAUCGUCGCAAGCGCGCGCUGAGGCACUCUGAGGUUCAACGGGACCUAUACGUCGUCCUUGGCCUGCUGUUGGUACGUACGGUUCAUUUCUCCGACAGGCCUGCAAACCCGAGAAACAUACUCUCUUAGGCAUACCGCUCGGCGACGCUACUGCUUUGGGUACUCUUAG
rnacentral:rRNA from 1 species